GAGCCAUUAGCUCAGCUGGUAGAGCAUUUGACUUUUAAUCAGAGGGUCAGAGGUUCGAAUCCUCUAUGGCUCA
rnacentral:tRNA from 1 species